GCUAGGGGCGAUAGCACGUUGAAUACGUCAGUUCUUAGUGGAUCACUGAAGAUAAGCAACGUUGCGCGUGGUAAGUAUCUGGAUGGGUGACCAUUUCGGCAAAUCGCGUGCUACUGAUU
rnacentral:rRNA from 1 species